AGAAUCCUCUCCUGCCUCUGCUGCCCACGCUGCUUUGGCCCAGGACACGUUUGGCUUUCUGGGCUGUGAGUGCCCAUGGCCAGAUCAUGUUCAGCUUCUCACCCACCAGCACCCCCAAGUCCUUCUCACAGGGCUGCUCAAAAUCCAUUCUCUUCCUAGCCUGUGUUUGUCUUUGGGAUUGCCCCAGUCCGGGUGCAGCACCUUGCACUUGGCCUUGUUUAACUUCAUGCAUCAGCCCACUUCUCACGUGUCCCUUCCCUCCAGAGUGUCAACUGCACGUCACAGCUCAAUGUUGUCAGCAAACUUGCUGAGGGUUCUCUCAAUCCUGCUGACACUGAUAAAAAUGUUAAACUGCACUGGUCAAAAUACCUGUCCCUGAGAAACUCCACUCACAUCAUGCUACAUGCAGGGUUUUGCCUUAAAGCUCCUCCAGGUGUCAUUUCCUUCGCAUUUUUUAGAGAAGUAGCAAUAAGCAUCUCAUGUGCUGCCAGUCUUGUGUGUGCAUUCUCUUUCUGUAUGAAUUUGGACCUUGGAACAAAGUGUCCAUGCACGAAGAGCCACAUUUUCUUAUACAUUGCCAUCUUACUUAGCCACCUUUUAUUUAUUUUUUCCCUUCUAAUUAGUCUUGAAAGAUACCAGCGGUGAAGGUUGUAACACAGUAAGCCAUCAGGCUAUACCAUAAAGAAAUGUUAUGGAUCAUUUCAGGAAUAGCUGCCUUUUUCCAUUUCACUUUGGCGCACACUGCACCAAAUCAAACCACCAGAGAAUUACAGAUCCCACUUUGCCACCUUCAAAGUUUAUCUGGAGGCAACAUGUCAUAGUGUCCCUCAGAAGCUUCUGCAUUAAUUGCAGUCACAAUACCCUUCAGCAAUGUUGUGAACACAAUGUUCAGAUAUAUUUAGCCACAACUGAGCUCAGAAGAUUCUAUCACUUUUGUGAGACCACCCUGGGGAAGCACUCUGGAUUGCCUGAGCCAAAUUCCUCCUGCUAUAUUGAAGGCCUCAUAAUGCAAGACUGCACCCAGCAUGUGCACACCACUGCUGGUUAUCCAGCGCUGGCUGUGGGAGCAUGGCAGUUCUUCAAGUUCUUCUUCUUCUUCAAUCUUCUUAGAUUAAUCUAAGUUAAUCAGUGUACAAAGGACAAAGUGAAAGAAGCUGAGUUACCAGAAUUUUGCCAAUUUGCUUACCUGAAUCUGCAUUAAACACCUUAACCAUUAACCACGCACUGCACACUGACUUUCAGACCAACAGAAGCUCAUUAACUUAUACCUCUGUGAAGCCAGUUUAAUCCAAGCUAUAAAGUUUAAUCCAACACAUUUACUGUGCAUGUGUAACAGAUAGUGAAAGCACCUGGUAGCACCUGGCCAUGACCUGUCCAUGCCUCACUUCCCUGUCUCUUCAUCCAAAGGUCUUCCCUCCACUUGUCACUGGAAAAACAGCAGGAUCUUUGACAGGAUACUUUUUACAUAUUUUGUGAGCACAGUCCAGCUGCUAGCACCAAGCACCAAGAAGGGAUUUUAUUUUUUUUAGCAGAAUUUGCCAGGUGGUGGAAAUGCAUUCCCAGAAUACCUGGUGAAAAGCAAGUUCCUCUAUAACUCACCCAUGAUGUCACUUAUCUCUUACUAUCCUGCACUAUCAUGCAUUGAUGUCCUAAAAACAACACACACUGCUGCUCCCUAGAUACCACUUUUUGGGGGGAUUUGGCUUUUUCCUUUUUCUCAUGUUCCUUUGGCAGAAGUCCAGACACUCCCACCUUCUCCAAUUGGGAUCUUUCACUUUCACAAUAUAGGGGCUUUAUUAGCUUCAGUUUUCUGGUCUUAUAAUUUUAAAACCUCUUGAACAGAAAACUUCACAUCUGACAAGCCUGUCUUAAAAGAUGCAUAUUCUUGGAUUCAUACUUUAUUCUAGAUGAACUUUAAAACAAAACAAUGUGGAAAGCGGACCUUACUGCUGAAAUUCUGCAUGCAAAAUAAACUAUUUCAGGCCAAAUUGUGCCUUGGAAUUGAAGCUCAGGAAAAUUACUUCCAAAAAGCUCUCCAAAAUGGCUCUAAGAAUGUAGGCUUUCAGUCCUACUAUAUUGAGAUUAAAUGAACACAUGGUUCAAGUCAAGCUUGCUUUUAAGUACAUUCCUGAGCAGGGAAGGACUUAUUUAAGCAAUUGUUUAAACGUUUUCCUGAAACACAACCCCAGAAGUUAGGAGGGUAUCACAGCAUCUAUUUCUUGGUCAGCUGACAAAAUGCAGCACAGCUACAUGAGAACUCCCCAGCUAUGCAGAUACUCAUAUGUGAAAAACGUAAGACACAGCUUGUGCUUUUUUUUAUACAACAUGCUUUGAAAUGUCACAUAAAUUGUUUUCAUUUGAUUAAAGAAAAGAGUCAAUUUUGCAGAAAACAAUUUAUUAAAUACAUAAGACUAGGUUGCUACACCUAAUUACAGACAAAAUACUGUGAAUAAAGCAUGCACUUACCACAGACAUCAAUGACUAUUUUGAUUUAUUUUAAAUGGUCUUUAUUUCUGUAAGUUAAGGCUGUACCAAUACAAAUUUUAAAAAUCAAAAAUAACGAAGUCACACUACAGUAGUAGCAAACAUUGUACAGACACUGAAACCAAUCUCUAAUGCAGCAGAACCAGACUUCUUAAAGAUUAUCAUAAGAGAAUAAAAAUAGAGGUGAAGUGCAAUAAAGAUCUGAAUAUUUUUGGAAUUUACAGACCAGUGACAGUGAAUGUCAUACUCCAAUUAGCACAAACAGAAUCCAUUUUUUUCAAAAGCCUAAUUAUCUGACAACUAAGCAAGAGAGAAAACUAAUAAAUACCACCUUAAAAAAACCCUCUUGAUUUUUUUAUCUUCUUCUUAUUGAGGGUACUUCUGUACUCUACUUAAAGAACAUUUUUCAAGAAGACAUUGUGGCAGACAACAGUACAACACACAUUUGUUUAGUCUAUCCCCAUUAAAAAAUAGUGGAGUGUCUUGAAGAAGAACAAUACAUCACAACAAAAAAAAAUUUAACUGACACAAGUGACAGACAAUGUUGUUGACCAUAUCGGUCUUCACCAGCAAAGGAAUGUAUGAAGUUUGCUUCUUAAAAAUAUGCUGCAGGCAUGGCAAUAUGACAUUCACAUGGGUCAAAACUUAUCCAGCUGAUGAGCUGAUGAGUAAAAAAAUUACCAGCCCUGGAAACACCAUUUGAUCUGAGGUUCAAAGUAGGUUAUGAAAUCCUUCUCCAUUUACAGCCACAAAGCCUUUUUGCUUGUCUUUCUCCUGGUGCUGUGCAAGUACAAAAAUAGGGUAAUUUGAGGACAAUGGGCUCAAACAGUUAAUUGAAAAUGGACUAGUUGACAAUGUUGCUCACAUUUUCAGAAAAUGAGCCAGUAAUCUUCACCCCAGAUUUCUAAAUUUGCAGAGCUUAAUGCAUUAAAAUAGAUCAAAGUAUUACUUCUCCCUGAAAUUUCUGUCCACUUAAUCUCACAAAUGCAGGAGCAAGAGAUCUGUGUAAGAAGGUGCCCUGUGUACAGGCAACUGCAUUUGGAGUGGAUGAUACAUAGCACUCCUCACGCUAAAAUCUCUGCCUUAAAUAGCUGAUUACAGCUGGGGCUUGCAAGGGGGUCUAAAAAAAGGUAGGUCCCAAAUUCCACUUGAGUUUAGAUAGAUAAUUCUUUCCUGCAUCCUUUCAGCAGCAUAGACUAAGCUGUAUUGAAAAGGAAAAAGGAAAGCUGGUCCUGCAAUAUAAUGCACAUCACACAAAAUAUAAUUACAGGACUGACAGUAUGCACACUGAAGGAAUCACUGUGAUAGGAAGGUGGUAUCUAAACUAGCACACCAUUAAUAUAAUUUCAUUUGCAUCUUGAAACUGAUGAAUUGUGGCAAAAAGCAAACAAAUGCAACUAGAGACUGACAUGCUACAGCCAGUAGGCUGAUCAGGUCUGCACCUAUAGAACCCUUAUUGCAUUUCCAGUGUGCAAACUAGGAAUAAAGGAUGUUGAUGGCUUUUCUGACUCAAAUCUAAGCUGGGGAUAAUGCCGAUAUACCUAGCUUCACAAUGGAAAAUAAGAAGAUGGGAAAAAAACAGCUGCUGCAUUACAAUCUGACUGGUUUUUUGGUGAAUUAGGCCAAUAUAUAGAAGUUAGAAAGACAAGUUGGUUAGACAACUAGUGCAAUGGUGAGACCACUGAGACGCUGAUCUACUUAUAAAUAGAAGAAAUAUAAGAUGUAAGACCAUGCCUUGAAUGUUUAAUAUCAGGACCACACAGGCAGGAACUCUAUGGAGUGAAAACUCUUCACUCAUAUUAGUGGAAGCACAUUUUCAUGUGUAAAUGGCUACUAGACAACCAAAACAAUGGACAACUGCACUGUAACUGGUCCCAUCUGGCUCCUCUCUGGUAAAGCAAGUCUGACGAAGCUUCCAGUUUUUAAAGGAAAAUUACAGGACCUAACAUUUCUGAAGAGAGCCCUAUAUUCCCUGCAACUGAUAGAAACUGAGGUGCUGCAAAAGGCUUCACAAUAUUAUAUCACCUGUGGAAGGUUUUAAUCUUCAGCUGGGGUUUUCAAUUCAUCGGGUUUUGGAGGACCAGCUUGCAACCUACUACACAGGAUGAUUUUCAGUGUAUUCUGUAUGCUUCCUUUAAUAUUGCCUUUUGUAAAUGUCCCGGGUAUCACUAAAAGGAACAACUACAUUGAAAAGUCUGACAUAAACGUUAACUUUUGAAAGUGUUUUACUUCACAAGGCCUGUCAAUUUUCUGCUUGCAGACAGAGAUGACUUCAGACCAAUACUUCUAAGGAUGAACCCAAUGUACUUGUCCCAGACUGCAUGGGGGACAUCUGCUAUGGAAUGUCACUGCAUGACUGAUAAGAGCUACAGCAUCCCAUUGUGAGAUGCUCGGCCCAGAGGGAGGAGCCAAGCAUUCCUACCUGGAUAUAAUCUUGUGUUUCUGGACACCAGCAUGGCUUUCUCCACUGGAUUUCCCAUAGGAACAGCAGUUGCUUCUUCUUCACUGAUCUUGAGAGGAAGACUACACCCUUUUCUACAGGAUCCCUGCUCCAACAGAACCAUUCCUGGAGUGUCAGUUCUCCUGACACUCCAGGAGAACUGCAGCCACAUUUCCAAUUGGACUGCUACCAACACCGUGACCAACAGGGUGUCAGGUUGUGUUCUGACUCUGUCAGUGUUGUUUUUGUUUACUGCAUUCUUUAUUUUAUCCUUUUCUUUUCCUCCCUAUUAAAGAACUGUUAUUUCCUGCUUCAAUAUUUGUUGCCUGAGAGCCCCUUAAUUUGAAAUUGAUAGCAAUUUGGAGGGGGGGUGGGGUAUUCACAUUCUCCAUUUCAGGGGAGCCUCCUGCCUUCCUUAGCAGGCACCUGUAUUUCCAAACCAAGACAGUACUCUUAUUUUCCCCAGUCAUGCAGUUUUUCUCAUAACUUGUUAUUUUGAUUUGAAAAGUCUUUUCAAGACAGCUUUCAUGUCUCAACAGAGAUGAAAAACUGGUGGCCAGUCUCUUCUUUUUUCCGUAGAAAAUAUUAUCUUAAAGACCAGCCUAGGUACAGUGAACCAUGCCUGGUGACUGGGAAAUCCACCAGAGGUAUCUCACAUUUCCCUCUUGCCUGUUUGUUGUAUGAGUACAGUAUGAUACAAUUUCAGCCUGUCAGAAUCUCACAAAGAUAAAAACAAAUGCAUAUGUUUGUGUGCAUUUGCAAUAUUGCCAGAUUUUAGGCAGAGGGUAGAAGAGAAACUCAAUGUCAGAAUUUUGAUAAACAGGACUUGUCUGCCAUGGGCGCAGUUGGAAAGAAAGAGAUCAAAAAUCUUGGGCUUGACUUUCAUCCAAGUCUCAUUUGGCAGCAAUGUGUGGCUUCCAUAGAGGCAGAGCAGAGACUGGAAUCCACCACUUGACCAGGCUGACACUUGUUUAUAAGACUCACAACUGCUUUGUGAGCCAACGGUUUCUUAUGGUAAUCAGAGGACUGCUUUAAUUAAAUGGUGUUUUACCAUGCUCCAAAAUUACUUCAGCAGGCCUGGCUAUUCAGUAGAUCCAUUACCAAUGGGAACAUUUUGCUGCUACACAUUCCCUCAUGCCCCUCACAGUUGGUAGACUGCUGCUGCAGGAGGUGUGGCAGGAGAAGAUUGCUUCCUUUCAGCUCUAUUAAAGGUUUUCCAAAUUAAAAUCAAUGAGAAGACAUUUGAAAGAAAGAUGGAGAGUUAAAUAUUUUUUUUUUCCUUUUACUUCCUUUUUUAAGCUUCAAGCUGGUAAGUGAUAAUCUGUGCAAACAAGAUAUUAGAAAUUUGGCACAUCCCAUCUACCACAACAUAUUGAUUCCUUCUACAAAAGGCACUAAAUACUGGCAUAAACCAAGAAAUGAUCAGCAGAAUGCAGUUCUUGUAUGACACACAAAAAUCCUGCUAACUGGCACAGCUUCAUAGUACAAUUUUCAGUUACCUAAAAUGGUGGUGAUAAUAGCAGCAAUGGUUAGGAUUUUUACAAGUACCACGUAUACAUACAAAUGUCAGAACAUCUAGAGGACAUGCAAAAUUUCAAGAGCAACAUCACUGAAUCACACAAUGCAUAGAAUUACUGUUGUUAUUAUUAUUAUGCAAGACAGUGUAAUAUUUUUAAUAAACAAUUUUUUUUUUAAACCUACAACCAGUUUUACAAACUGUUCUUAAAAAAAAGUUGUUAAAGUCAGUGAGUGUUAACCUUUUAGAGGUUUAACUCUAAGAAUGAAUUGGUUACUACAGAGAAUUCACAGUUAGGUGGAAAUUUAGUUAUACUUAAGCAAAAUAUGUUUGUCAACUGCUGUUUUGGAAGAAACUGUGCUAAUCUUGUCAAUUUACAAAAUGGCAAAAAAUACAUUCACAUUAAAAGAUUAAAAAGAUUAAACAUUGCAUGCAGGGAAAGACAAAAUCCUUGUUAGCUGUUUCUCCUAGCACUGCUCACCAUGAGACCAAGGGUUGUCAUAGCAAAAAUGCUUUUCAAAGGCAGAGUUAAUGCCUGCAGAUAAUUGAAACAAAUGGAAAACAUUUUCUAAUUCUGGUGUAAAUCAAAGUAGGCUAUUAAGGGAUAAGGAUUACGCUUGCCUUCUUUAGAAUAAAGGACAAAAACUUCCAUUGUGUUUCCAGGCUUUUUCACUGCCUUUCCACUGCUCUUCAUUACACUUGGAUAUUCUGCCUCUUCUUUUUCUUCCAGUAUUGAGUAGUUUUUCUGCCCAGACAGAUCUCGAGAUGAAUCCUGAGAUGGAUGGGCCACAUGGACAAAAACAAACAUGACAAUGCAUCUAUGGCCAAGUGAUGUUGCCUCCUGCACACCUCAGGCUCAUUUCCAGUGGGACUAGUCAUGUGCUUGGGGGGCAAGUGCAGGAACAGCCCGAGCUUGGUGGAAGCAGAGGCAUGGGCACACACUUCUCACAGCACUCUGCAGAAGUGCCACCAAAUUCUCUCUGGCAGCAGCAUCACCCAACUUGCAGGUACUGCCAUAAAUAGGUGCAAAAUCAGAUUCACACCAUUUCCUCCCCUGACAGCUUUCAGAUUUCAUUAAGACAUUUCAUUUCACAUUUUGUCUGCACAUCUCUGAAAGCCUUGGAUACUUCUGCACCUGCAUUUCGCAUCCAUGCCCCCAGCCUUGCGCAGAGGAACCCAGUCUUUCAAGCUGCUCACAGAGAAAGUUCCUGAAGAAGACAUAUCUUCCAAGAUCUGAAUGACAGGCACCAGGCAGAAAACAAAGGUCUCCACAAAGCAACUGACACUGCAAUCAUUGUUCAGUGCACCUUUAGCCUUAGAGACACUAGGAUAUUAGUCUCCAUAAACAAAAGUUACCAAAAUCAAUUUGAAGCCAUUUAGUCUUGAUCCCUGCCUUCUGCAUCCACCACUGAAGAUAGUGAGGCAAUGUCUCCUGCAUCGGUUUGUUUUCAGGCUGGAAAUUUACAUAUAGGAAGUUUAUUAAAUGCAUGAUAGUAGAAGAGAAAGAGGAAUCCCAGCAGGAUUGGAAUAAUGCAAUGUGAAACAGACCAUAAAGCUACACGAUCUAGGCCAUCUGAGAACAUGCUAUAAUGGUAACAAGAGCAGUCUCAGCAAGAUUACAACUUUCAGAAAGCAAAUAAAAUUCUAGGUAUGAGGAAUGUCAGAGUUUUAUUUGUUCAGAAGAAAAAAAAA